AGCUCCUGGAGGCGAGAGAUAAAGAUUCCUUUCUCCCAAGUCCCUUAAACGUGAAUUUCGGGAGCAGAACGCACGCAAGAAAAAAAAAAAACUGCUCAAGACUAUCUUUUAGAGGAAACCUCGAGUCAGCCAAGGCCUGAAGAAUACCCAAGAAAGAGUUGAAUUUACAGGAGAACAGUCCUAAAAAAAAAGAAGACGAAGAAAGAAUGCAGCAAACACACCAGAGAAAGUUAAGGCUGCUCCAGACCAGAGUACUUAAAGGCUCUGAACUUGGGCGGGGCAGCCUCGUUCCCCAAAACGAGGCAGAACUCUCCACCAAUAAGAAGUGUCCUUCUCAGAUCAGCGUCCAGCCUCCUUUCCAGAACAGACUCAUUCCACGAACUCCAACCUAUACCAAAAAAAGGGCCUCAAAACAAAAUUGAAAGGAUCAAGAGUCAAGACUGGAAUUGUCUAAAAAAACUGCACACAACCAGCAGGUGGCAGCUUAACUACAUUAAUGAUACUACGUAUUCCCUUGGAUUGGUCCACGUAUGGAAAGUAGAAGGUACCUUGGACUGGAAAUCAGGAAACUUGCAUUCAAGGUCCAUUCCUGAUUCUGGCCCUGUGACCUCAGCCAUCCCCUCAGCCUCUUUCCUCCCUCCCAAAAUGGGAAUACCUGCUCUGCCAUCUAGAGGCUGCAAGGCAGCUUAAUGGGUAGAAAGAGCAGCAGAGCUGAAAUUAGUAGAGACCCAAGUUCCAAUUCAGCUUCAAACACUUAUUACCUGUUUUACCCUGGGCAAGUCACUUAGCUUAUUUCCUGGGGGUUGUGAAGAUCAGAUGAGAUAAUAUGUGUAAAGUGCUUAGCAGAGUGUCUGCACAUGGUAAGUGCUAUAUAAAUGUUAUCUAUUAUCAUUAUUGCAAAGCAUUUAGCACAGUGUUUGGGACAUAGUAAAUGCUAUGCUAGCUAUUGUUAUUAUAAAGCUAGGGAAUAGCAGAACAGAAAUUCAAACUCAAAAUUUUUAAUUCUCUGUCCCAUGUUCUUUUUACUAUAUCACAAACCCUUUAAUCAAGUCCAUCAGCCAAAUCAGCCUGAGCUAAUAAUGAAUCUCCCUAUCCCCUUUUUUAAAAAUCUUACCUUCUGUCUUAGAAACAAUCCUAUAUAUUGGUUCCAAGGCAGAAGAGUGGUAAGGGCUAGGCAAUAGGGGUUAAGUGACUUGCCCAGGGUCACACAGCUGGGAAGUAUCUGAGGCUAGAUCUGAACCCAUGACCUCCCAUCUUUAAGCCUCACUCUAUUUAUUGAGCAACCUAGCUGACCCCAGAAUUUCACGUUUUAAAUAAUUAUAUUCAUGAAGUUUAUUUCUGAACUUGUGUAAGACUUUACAAUUAAGCCUAUUUAAUUCUUCUUAUUCAGUUUAAUGUUCCGCUAAGACUUCCUUUGGUGGAAAGUAAUGACAAAGUUGAAACAUUAAUGCAUUGCUGGUGGAGUUGUGAAUUGAUCCAACCAUUCUGGAGGGCAAUUUGGAACUGUGCCCAAAGGACGAUAAAAGACUGUCUGCCCUUUGAUCCAGCCAUAGCACUACUGCGUUUGUACCCCAAAGAGAUAAUAAGGAAAAAGACUUGUACAAGACUAUUUAUAGCUGUUCUCUUUGUGGUGGCAAAAAAUGGAAAAUGAGAGGAUGACCUUCAAUUGGGGAACGGCUGAACAAAUUGUGGUAUAUGUUGGUGAUGGAAUACUAUUGUGCUCAAAGGAAUAAUAAAGUGGAGGACCCUCACGGGANCA
ensembl:lncRNA